AACAUAAAAACCGAAGAGAGGCCAUCAAACUGGUUUUAAACAAGCCCACUGUUUAAUCAGAUUACCUAAACAAAUUUACUGUGAGGCAAACAUGAAUGUGUGCUCAUCCAAGUGUUGAUAGCAUGGCUCCCAUGUAUGAUUAUUUUAUUGGUUAA